AAGCAAAUCUGAUUGGAGAAGCCCAAUUCGGCAAAGUGUACUGAGGAAAGACUCAGAAAGGUCAGGAUGUGACUGUGAAGAUUUGGGAAGAUUUAGGAAAAUUUGCUGUAGGCCGGGAUGAACACCGUUCCCAAUUGGUGAAAGAAUGCAUUUUUCUAAUGGAGUCAAGUGUAAAUCAUCAUCCGAGUCUGGUCAAACUUUUGGGAUAUUGCUGCGAAGAUAGUCUGUUGGGGGUUGUUUAUGACCUUAAACCAGUGGAUACAGUGCACAACCUCAUUGAUAAUGAUGGCUUUUCCUGGCUCCACAGAAUCAAGGUGGCAAUUGAUAUUGCACAUCUGCUCGAGUUUUUGCAUUAUCAUCAUAAACCGCAAUACCUAGUUCGCAAUAUUAGUUCUGCACAUAUAAUGG